AUAGGGGAAUUAUCAGCCAGAAUAUAAAAGUGUUCUAACAUAUUUAAGGAAUUCAAAGAGGGGAUAAAAUAUGAAUCAAAGAAUCAGACUAUAAAAAUGACUAAGUAUAUUUGAAGAAAAACAAUAAAAUAGAAUUUCUAGAAAUGAAAAAUUGUGAGUUCAAGAGUUAGUUGGACAUAGCUGAGGAGAGAAUAACCUCAGGGAGAUUUUUGAAAAGAAAAAAAAAAAAAUCCAGAAUGCAGCACAGACAGACAAAUAGAUUAAAAAUAUGAAAGAGAGGUUAAGAGAUCUGGAAGACAGUGAAAUAAUUUAAUAUGCCAAUAUUGGUAUUCCAGAAGGAAAGAAGAGAAAGAAUGAUGCAGAAAUAAUAUUUGAACAGAUAAUGGUUGGGAAUUUUUCAGUACUGGUGAAAGACACCCAUCAGGAAGCCCAGUGAAUCUCAAGCAAGAUAAGUAAAGAGAAAUCCACACCUACACACAUCAUAAUUAAACUGCAGAACAUAAAGACAAAAGGAAGGUCUUAACAUAACCAGAGGAAAAGACAGAUUACCUUUAAAGAAUGAUAAUUAUCCUGACAACUGUCUUUUCAACAGCAACAAUAGAAACCAUUGAGAUAUCUUAAAUAUGCUGAGAGAAACUAAGUGUGAAUCUAGGAUUUUAUAUGCAGCAAAAACAUGUUUUUCAAAAGGAGGAGGAAAUAAAGACUUUUUUUUUCCAGACAAAAUCUGAGAGAAUUCAACACCAGCAGACCCCACCAAAGGAAAUUCUGUGGAAUAUAGAAUUCAGGCAGAAGGAAGGUAUGAAAUGUGAGAAGGAAUGAAGAGCAAAGAAAGCCCUAAAUACAUGGACAAAUCAAACAAACAUCUCUAUAAGACAAUAACAAUGUCUUACAAGCAUAAAAAAACAAGACAGAACUAAAAUAUAUGAUGACAAUAGCCCAAAAGUUGGGAAAGGUAGUGAUUAAAGAGUUCUAGGAAUUUGGACUUAAAACUGAAACAUUAAAGCACAUUUUUAUUUUGUAUGUUUUGGAAAAUUAAGAUACUGAUCAAUUUUGUACUUUGAUAAAUAUCCAUGUUAAGAUUUCUAUGAUAGCCACUGAAAGGAUAGAAAUAGAAUGGUUGCCAACUAUUCGCUAUACAGUCUGCUGCUCUAAUGUUAGUGAACUCCUGUGUCUCAGAUCAGUAGUGCUGGACAGCAGUGUACAUGUGGGAGAGUAGUGGGAUUGUCUGCCCAUGUGGAAAAAAAAUUUUUUUUUAUAUUAUCACUGGCAUUGUUUGGAAUUGCCAGUACAUAGGGACAACAAAAGCAUUGCCAACUUAUUUAUCAUUGUGUUUGGAGUACCUAAGAGGUGUAAAUGGUAAACGCCCUCAGCUGCUUACAGAAAGGUCGGAGGUUUGAGUCCAUUCAGAGGUGCCUUGGAAGAAAGGCCUAGCAAUCGAAAAAAAAAUCAGCCACUGAAAACCCUUGGAAUAUAAUUCUCUUAUAGUCAUGGGGUGGAGGUCGCCAUGAAUUGGAAUUGACUCAAAGCAACUGGGAUGGGGAUUAUUGUGUCUAAAUUCUCCCUUCCCCCUCUCCAUGCCACUGUUCUUAGAUACUCACUGAUGACUUUCCCCUCCCCAAGCAAUGAUUCAUUUGAAGCCUGAUUAUUCAAUUUGCAGAUGUCUGGCUAUUUGUUUUAUUCUUUGCUCAAUCUCCUUUAGGCCAUUUCCUUGAUCUGCAACAUUACCUUAGGGCAGUAGUUUUAAAAUAUGGUCCACAGACCCAUGGAAUUCCCUGAAACCCUGCCAGGGGAUCCUUGAGGUCACAAUGAUUUUCUAAGACCAUCAUUUGCCUUUUUCACUUUGUUGACAUUUGCACCAAUGGUGCAAAAGCACUGAAGAGUAAAGCUGUUGACGCCUUAGCACAGAUCAAGGCAGUGGCACUGACCUUUACCGUUCUUGUUGUUAGUUGCUGCCAAGAUGGCUCUGAUUCAUGGUGACCGCUUGUACAACAGAACAAAACUUUGCCUGGUCCAUCUUCAUGAUCAUUGAAAUGGAUGUACCAUUUUGGAUUCCCACCAGCAGCACGUAAGAGUUCCAGUCUCUCCACAGCCUUUCCAACAUUUGUUAUUAUUUUUUUUUUGAUUCAUGCCAGUAAUGCCCAGCUUGGGUGUUUGGCAGAUAUUUUCUAGAAAACAAAUGAAAUGAGCCUGUAAAGGAAAACAACUGACAGUAUUUGUUGCCAAAGAUAACAGUCAAGCUUUCAAGUGGAAAUUGGAAUAUCAGCCAACAUGAACUUCAGAGCUUCCCAGUAAUUAGAAACUUAUCUUAUGAGAGUGAGGUCCCUGGGUGGUGAAAACAUUCUGCACUUGUCUACCAACCAAAAGGUUGACCAUUUGAACCCACCCAGUGGCACCGUAGAAGCAAGUCCUGGCAAUAUGCUUCCUUAAAUGUUACAACCAAGAAAACCCUACGGAGCAGUUCUGUUGUGUAACAAGUGGGGUCACCAUGAGUUGGAAUUGACUCAAUGGCAAUGAGUAUGGUUUUGGUUUGUCUUAUGAGGUUGGUGGUCAUGUUAAUGAAUGUAAUAUUGUAUAAUGAAAUGUGACAGCGUUUGGAAGAUCUGCAUAAUUCAGUAUUUUCCAAAUGACCAAUGCGUGAUGUUACAAAAUCAUGCACAGGUAAAAAAAUCUAUUCAAAAUGCAUGAUAAAUCCAUAGAUUUUAAAAUAAACUGAGUACAAAAAAUUCAUUGGCACAGUUUCAUAUUCUAUACCCAAUUAACCUUUGAGAAACUACCACUUGCUGAGUUUCGGUGUAGUAUCAAAGAAUAAUACAAGUAUCUGAAAAGGCUAUUAAAAUGCAGACUCCUUUUUCUAACUAUGUAUCUAUGUGAGACCAGAUUUUCCUCAUACACUUCAAUCAAAACAAAAUAUUGCAAUAGAUUGAAUACAGAAGCAGGUAUGAGAAUCCAGCUGUCCUCUAUUAAGCCAGCCAUUAAAGAGAUUUGCAUAAAUGUAAAACUUUGCCACUCUUCUCAUUAAUUUUUGUUUCUUUGUUUUGGAAUUUGCAGAAAAAUAUGUAACUUAUGUUAAUAUUGGGGUGCUUAGUAUUGUUAAAAACAACUUUAUUGUGGUAAAAUACAUGUAACAUAAAAAUUGCCAUUUUAACUAUACAUUUCAGUGGCACUAUUUACUUCACAGUGUUAUACAACCAUCCCCACUCUUUCCAAAUAUUUUUCAUUACUCCAAAUAGAAACACUGUACUCACUAAAAAAUACAGAAUGUUUACAAAUUUGUGUUUCAUCCUUAUUCAGGGGUGCUAAUUGUUAUGGCUUGAAUUGUGUCCCCCCAAAAGAUAUGUUGAAGUCCUCACUCCUCUAUCUGUGAACAUGACCUUGUUAGGAAAUAAGGUCUUUGGAGAUGUUGUCGGUUAAGGUAACAUGAGGCCACACUGGAGUAAGAUGAGUCCUUCCAAUCUGAGUGGUGUCCUUAUGAAAAACAAGAUGAGAAACAUACACAGGAGCAAGAAGACCGAGUGAAGUCAGAGGCAGAGAUUGGAGUGACCUACAAGCUAAAGAAUGCCAAGAACUGCCGGCUGUCACCAGAAGCUAGGAGGGAGGCAUGCAACAGAUUUCCCCUCAGAAUUCUCAGAAGGAAUCAACGUAGCUGACACCCUGAUUUCAGACUCCCAGCCUCCAGAACUGUGAGACAACAAAUUUCUGCUCUUAGAAGCUACUCAAGUUGCGGGGCUUUGUUAUGCCAGCCCUGGGAAACGAAUACACUAAUCCCUGCAUCAUUCCAUUUUUAGUAACUGUGCUGCCAA